rnacentral:rRNA from 1 species
GACGAACGCUGGCGGCGUGCUUAACACAUGCAAGUCGAACGGGAUCCGGGCUUUCGGGUUUGGUGAGAGUGGCGAACGGGUGAGUAACACGUGAGUAACCUGCCCCCUUCUUUGGGAUAACGUCGGGAAAUCGGCGCUAAUACUGGAUAUUCUUGCUGCAUCGCAUGGUGUGGUUUGGAAAGGGUUUCUGGUGGGGGAUGGGCUCGCGGCCUAUCAGCUUGUUGGUGGGGUGAUGGCCUACCAAGGCUUUGGCGGGUAGCCGGCCUGAGAGGGUGUCCGGCCACACUGGGACUGAGACACGGCCCAGACUCCUACGGGAGGCAGCAGUGGGGAAUAUUGCACAAUGGGCGCAAGCCUGAUGCAGCGACGCCGCGUGAGGGAUGACGGCCUUCGGGUUGUAAACCUCUUUCAGUAUGGAACAAGGAUCCUUCUUUUGGGGGGUUUGAGGGUACGUGCAGAAGAAGCGCCGGCUAACUACGUG